rnacentral:tRNA from 1 species
GGGGCUGUUGAGUCGUAGAGCUGGUGCACCACCCUGCUAAGGUGGAGUUCCCUUACGGGAACCAGGGGUUCAAAUCCCCUCGUCUCCG